UUUUAUUAUUAUUUUAGAAGAAAGAAGGAAACCAAUGGUUAAAUAAAGUUGGAAGCAGCAGCAAAGCUAGUAAAUGACAAGAAUGCGUUUUUUAUUUUGUUUACCUAGGUAAUAUGUUUUGUUUGUUUAGAUACUAUACCUAAGAAACAUGUGUGUAGCUUCGUGUGGGAGGUAAAAAGGGGAUGGAGCAAAGAAAGAAAGAAAGAGAAAGAAAGAAAUGUGGUUUUUAAAAAUACUCCUUUGUGUUUAUUUAAUUUAUACCCUAUUUUUUUUUCUCCCAACACUGGGCUUAAGACAGAAGGAAAACUGAAAACUGAAGAUGGGAUAAAAGAAGAGAGAAGAAAGGAAGAGAGAAGGAAGGAAGGAAGGAAGGAAGGAAGAAGCAAAGGAAGAAAGGAAAGGACAAUAAAGCAUUGCAAAGGUGUGGAUGAAUUGAAGCUGGCUCAGUGAAGUACAAAGGAGAAGCCAUCGCUCUUCCAGAUCUGGAGACCACAAAAGGGUUGGCAAAGAUUUACCCGGCAUGUUGCUGCUAUUGAUUUACAGAGCUCACUUCCAGCAACUUCGAGGAGACCAGCGUUUUGUCAAAACAAAAAGCAACAUCCAACAUCUCAGCCAUAAAUCCAGGGCCAGAGAGGCAAAGAACACCCUCCUUCCCCCCGCAGAGGAUCUGGUCUUGCACAAGGAAAUUCAUCAGCGGCUCCCAGUCUUCCUUGCAGCCUUCCCAGGAUUUCCCUCUCAAUAAAGUAAGGUCAGUUUAUCCAUCUCUAUGUAUUCUAUUAGUUUAUCGCGCCAU